UCCUGAAACUGACAAAAAUGCUGGCUGGUUGCCCUUUAGCCAAGCUCUCCCAUUUGAUCAGCGUUUCAGUUGCUUUGUGGUGAUGUCUGUAAAUGGAGGUGGAAGAGAGAGGAAGAGCAUGGCAAACAUCUCUCCCUUUUAUCAUGUCCUUUCUUCCCUCUUGAUUUUGCCCCCUCCCCGCUUCCAAGUCAGGUGAACAUUACCUCAUUGC